AGUGAACGCUGGCGGUAGGCCUAACACAUGCAAGUCGAACGGCAGCACAGUAAGAGCUUGCUCUUACGGGUGGCGAGUGGCGGACGGGUGAGGAAUACAUCGGAAUCUACUUUUUCGUGGGGGAUAACGUAGGGAAACUUACGCUAAUACCGCAUACGACCUACGGGUGAAAGCAGGGGAUCUUCGGACCUUGCGCGAUUGAAUGAGCCGAUGUUGGAUUAGCUAGUUGGCGGGGUAAAGGCCCACCAAGGCGACGAUCCGUAGCUGGUCUGAGAGGAUGAUCAGCCACACUGGAACUGAGACACGGUCCAGACGACUAAGGGAGGCAGCAGUGGGGAAUAUUGGACAAUGGGCGCAAGCCUGAUCCAGCCAGACCGCGUGGGUGAAGAAGGCCUUCGGGUUGUAAAGACCUUUUGUUGGGAAAGAAAAGCAGCAGGUUAAUACCCAGCUGUUCUGACGGUACCCAAAGAAUAAGCACCGGCUAACUUCGUG
rnacentral:rRNA from 1 species